AACAUAAGAGACAAAUAACUAAAGUUGACAAAAGAAAAGACAAAAAAAUGUGAAAAUAAAGAGAGAAAUAACUAAGUUUGCUU
rnacentral:sRNA from 1 species